GAUGAAGAACGUAGCGAAAUGCGAUAAGUAGUGUGAAUUGCAGAAUUCAGUGAAUCAUCGAAUCUUUGAACGCACAUUGUGCCCCUUGGUAUCCCGAGGGGCAUGCCUGUUCGAGCGUCAUUUCACCACUCAAGCCUGGCUUGGUGUUGGGCGACGUCCCCUUUGGGGACGCGCCUCGAAACGCUCGGCGGCGUGGCACCGGCUUUAAGCGUAGCAGAAUCUUUCGCUUUGGAAGUCGGGGCCCCGUCUGCCGGAAGACCUACUCGCAAGGUUGACCUCGGAUCAGGCAGGGAUACCCGCUGAACUUAAGCAUAUCAAUAAGCGGAGGA
rnacentral:misc_RNA from 1 species